rfam:Drosophila melanogaster chromosome 3R.
CCUUCGAUAGCUCAGUUGGUAGAGCGGUGGACUGUAGUUGGCAAACAAGCAAUAGAAAUCCAUAGGUCGCUGGUUCAAAUCCGGCUCGAAGGA